rnacentral:rRNA from 1 species
UACGUAGGGGGCAAGCGUUGUCCGGAAUCAUUGGGCGUAAAGAGCGCGUAGGCGGCCCAGUAAGUCCGCUCUGAAAGUCAGGGGCUCAACCCCUGGAUGCGGGUGGAUACUGCUGGGCUAGAGUCCGGAAGAGGUGAGUGGAAUUCCUGGUGUAGCGGUGAAAUGCGCAGAUAUCAGGAGGAACACCAAUGGCGAAGGCAGCACUCUGGGACGUGACUGACGCUGAGACGCGAAAGCGUGGGGAGCAAACAGG